rnacentral:tRNA from 1 species
CCUGAAAGCAAACUGGUUGCGCUACUUGUCUUUCGAACAAGUGAUUGCGGGUUCGAAUCCCGUCGGG